GGCGGGACCUGGUCAAUGACCUGAAGAGAGCUGGGACCACAGUCUCAAAGAAAACCAUCAGUGUUGCUUUCCAGUGAGGGUGAUCAUACCACACUAGAAAGUCAGGACAGAGAUUGGGUCUGCUGGAUGACUGGGAUAAUUUCCUGAUCCUAUGACUCUGCGAUGAGGUUGACAGUGUGAUAAGGGGAGGUUACUACAGAUGGUGUCUUGAGGAAUAGCAGGGACAAUUUGACCAAAAACGGUAUGGACCUCAAAACCCCCUCGAAAACGACUGAAGAAAUGGCAUUCACUACGGCCUUGUCCUGCACCACUUCUAUCGAGAGACCUGAGUCUGAGCCAGCAACCGGUGUAAAGCAUCAAGUUGAAGUUAUCGACUGUCUUUUCUCUCAGGAGUGCAACAGAAGUCCACGUGGAGGUAGCAUGGAGAAAGAUCCCUUCCAAACUUCCCUCAUAUUGCUGGUAUACUGGUUGUCAAAUGUGCAAGACAUAAUGAGUUGUGGUUGGGUUCAGGUGAGACAUCCAAAUUGGGACAUUGUCAUGGGUCAUCCACUUUGAACUGUGAAGCUAUCUGAAGAAGAAAAUUAAUAAAUGCCAGAAGAUUGAGUGCCGGUGGAUGGGGG